UAGUGUACCAAUAUACACAGCGUAUAUUUACAUAUGUACACUAAAAAUAUUGUUCAAUCUAGGUAUAAUCAAACAGUUUAAAUUGACUACUUUACAAAUUGUAAAUGGGAAAAAUGUCAAAAAAAGCAUGAACUUUCAAAUUUGGGAUGAAAAAAACAUGAACUUCAAAAAUGCCACUAACAUCCUAAAGUUUUGUUUGACUUUAAUAAAAUAGUAAAGUUUCGUUGACUUCGCCAUUUUAGACAUGUCGUUAAGUUUCCGUUAACAAAAAAAACACAGCGUUAAUUUUCCGUUUAGUAUGUUCUGUUUCAGACAAAACGACGUCGUUUUGAAAAUCUAAAAUAAAAUAACGAUAGUAAGUCCACGAGGAUUCGAUCCAGUAACGUAUUGUUUUCCUCAGAUGCACACACCAUUAGGCCACGAUAUUAUUCUAGUACAGAUUGCAAACAGAUCUAUAUAACAUACUAGAUAAGGCCCGCCUAUUUAGGCGGGUGUACCCGAAAUUUUCAAAUACUCGAACGAGUCUAAACUUCAAAACCCGAAAACUCGAACUCGAAUCCGAAUAAGUAUUCAAACAUAUAUCAAAUAUAAGUAUAUAUUAGUUAUAUUUAUACUUAUAUAUAGAAAAUAUUAGGAUUUUUUUGGAUAUUUUAGUUAUUUUGUGUGUUUUUAGAUAUAUUCAAGCAAAACUACUCGUGUUGUUUUGAGAAUUUUUGAAAAUUUCAAGUAAUUUAAUAGAUUUGCACACAAAAUUUGAUAUUUCAAUAUAUAAAUAAACUCGAACCCGAACCCGAACCCAAACCAAACCCGACCCAAAAUCUUAGAUUACCCGAACGGGUCCUAAACUUUUAAAUCCGAAAACCCGAACCGAAUACCCAAACGUCUAGGGCUAAUAAUUAAUAAAAAAUCAAACAUUGUUGAAAAUAUAUUUUCUAUAUAUGCCGUAAUCUCGUAAGUUAAUUUUACAUCAUGCAAAUUAAUAUUAAAUGAGUUAAAAUUAAUAAAUGAAAAUAAUUGAAAAGUUAAAUCCUAUAAGCUAAGCUAUUUUUCUCAAAUUGUUCUAUUUUCACUUAUGAUUACAUGAGUUAAAGACAAAUUUGUUAAUUUUCCUUUUGUUGAAUAAAUGUUAAUUGUUUAUAAAUAUAUAGACAUAUAAAU
rnacentral:sRNA from 1 species